GGAACUUGUGGGACCAGGUGAGCUUCUGUUCCAUUCCAGGUCACAGUUCACCUGAGACACACCAACACUUAGACUCUUCCAUCAGCCUUCCACAGAUUCAGGAAAUCCCCUCUGAUGUCUGACUGGGACAAUCAUGUGAGCUGAAGUCGUCCAGAACAGGAGUGAGUUUCACUGGACCACUGGGGACAUUUCCAUCACAGCGUCAUUAACACAAAUGGAUCAGAGUGAGGACAGAGAGGAGCGAGCCACUCCCUGGAAGACCACCCACAGACCCCCCACAGGACCUGGACCUGGACCCAGCUGUGUGUCCAUUAAAAGUGAUGACUCCAUGGAUGACCCACUGUAUUUUAAAAGAGCACAUGUUUGUGAUCCUCAUCCUGGACCUGGACCUGGACCCAGCUGUGUGUCCAUGAAGAGUGAUGACUCCAUGUCUCUCCCGAUAUGUUUUAAAACAGGAUAUGCUCCAGAGACUCAGUAAGUGAACUUCAGAUCCAGUGGCAGCUUGUCAAUAGAGAGCACUAGGGCGCCACCCACCUGUCUCACAUGAAGAAAAAGACGAUAGGAAUCACCUAA
rnacentral:lncRNA from 1 species